rnacentral:hammerhead_ribozyme from 1 species
AUCCAGCUAACGAGUCCCAAAUGGGACGAAACGCGCAUCCUGGAU